GCACGUGACCCCUGGGCGCCUGACGCUGCGGGCUCUGGAGGAACAUGGCGCUGUGGGCUUGUUCGGUUGUUCCCGCCCUCAGGCUUUGGGGCCUGGGAGGUGCGCGGCCCUGGACCCGCCGGCCUUGUGUUGCAGGUGGAGGAAGGCCCAUAUCUUUUUCUGCCGGUGCCUCAAGUGUCUCUGGAAGUGGAGGCCACAGUCAGAAGUUUCUCCUGCAGGACAUUGCUGAGCUGAUUAAAACCAGAGCCUGCCAGAGGGUGGUGGUCAUGGUGGGGGCCGGCAUCAGCACACCCAGCGGCGUCCCAGACUUCAGAUCUCCAGGGACCGGAUACUACAGCAACCUCCAGCAGUACAAGAUCCCCUACCCCGAGGCCAUUUUUGAGCUCUCAUUUUUCUUUCGCGAUCCCAAGCCGUUUUUCACUUUUGCCAAGGAGCUGUACCCUGGGAACUAUAGGCCUAAUGCCACUCACUACUUCCUGCGCCUGCUCCAUGACAAGGGGCUGCUUCUGCGGCUCUACACACAGAACAUCGAUGGGCUUGAGAGAGCGUCUGGCAUCCCUGCCUCAAAGCUCGUUGAAGCUCAUGGAUCCUUUGCCUCUGCCACCUGCACCGUCUGCCGAAGACCCUUCCCAGGGGAGGACUUUUGGGCCGACGUGAUGGUGGACACGGUCCCACGCUGCCCGGUCUGCACUGGCGUUGUGAAGCCCGACAUCGUAUUCUUUGGGGAGAUGCUGCCCCACAGGUUCCUGCUGCAUCUGGCUGACUUCCCCAUGGCAGACCUGCUGCUCAUCCUUGGGACCUCGCUGGAGGUGGAACCUUUCGCCAGCUUGUCUGAGGCCGUGAGGAGCUCGGUGCCCCGACUGCUCAUCAACCGGGACUUGGUGGGGUCCUUGGCUAGGCAUCCUCGGGGCAGGGAUGUGGUCCAGCUGGGGGACGUGGUUCACGGUGUGAAAAGGCUGGUGGAGCUUCUGGGCUGGACGGAGGAGAUGCGGGACCUCAUCCAGCGGGAAACUGGAAAGGUAGGGACUGCUGAGAGUCACGGGAGGGGCCAUCUCUUCUACUCUGGGGUCUGGUCAACCUGGAGUGGCGCCCUCUUUGGCUAAAACAGUAACAGUAAUAGGUAAUAUUGCUGUUAACCCUGUACCAGGCACUGUUUGGCGCCAUCUAUGUGCGUAGGAAUCGGGUGCUGUGAUUCUUAAUACCUCUGUUUAGAGAUGAAGAAACUGAUGCUUCGUUCCUGCUGAGUGGCAGAGUGGAGAUGAGGGUCUAGGCAGACAGGGCUGUCGUUCUGCAGUCGUCACACUUCAGCUGUCUUUGUACCCUGAACUGAAGGAGCACUCCAGGAUAAGAUGUGAUUCUGAAGUUCUCUGAACCUGUGUGGGAUGAUGCUUUUAGGAGAUAAUCAGAGUGAGAGGAGUUGACGUAUCAUCUGCUGAGCGUAGAAAGUCAGAGAGCCUUGAUCUCUCUAGAUGUCAAACCUCCUAUAAACAAGUGAGGUUACAGAAGAUGCAGUUUCCCAUGAGAAUCAGUUAGCACGUGUAGCCUUGAUGUGAGGGGUUCUUUUCUACAGGGGGCAGCAUUAAGCAUUUUAAGUCCAGUUGUCUCAAAGAGGAUUACUUAUGAUGACAGCCAGGUUUAACACUGCUGGAAGUGGACUUCACUAGAAUGCUGUAAGUUAUAUUCUUGCCAUCUCGGGAAACCUCUCACCUUCUGGCUGUGGCUGCUUCAGGACUCAGGGCCAUGAGUGAGCCCUUUCCUCUCACCUCCACUGGCAAAAGCCCCCAGCCUCUGGCUACAGCCUGAUUUCUUACCAAUUUGAACCAAAGCAAGAAGAAUAUGAGGCUUUUUAAAGAUAUAAGACUUUGCAGUUAUAUUGUUUUCAUGAUAUUAGACAUCAGUGCCUUUCAAUCCAGAGUUUGGCUCUUAGGGAUAAGAUGUAGGACGGUGCCAUUUCUCAUCUCAUUAUAUGGAGGAAAUAAAGACCAUCAAAUGUUAAAGUCACGUUGCUGGGUCGCUUAAUGGAAGCAGAGUCCGGCUAAUACGGAUGCUUACACUUUACACCUCGAGAGGAACCGUAGCAGAUGCCUUGCUCACAGGGGAGUAGAGAUCUUGGUCAGAUCCGCCUGGCAGCUUACACAGGAGCCUUGGGUGGCUGACUUCCUACUUCCAUAUAACAGCAAGACAAAGUCAAGUAGCCUCUAUAGACGUUUAGAAUUAGAGUCCUAUAGGAUUUGACCUGUGCUAUUUUCUAGUUCCACAGAAAUUUGUGUAAAGUUACGAUUUUAGGGGUUUACUUAUUUUAAAAGAGUUGCUGUCCAAGAAUAAACACUAAGGGAUGAGCUGAAGUCUAAGCUGGAUUACUUUUCCAAACAGUGAGCGUACGUGAGUACAUCUCGCCUGGUUACUUAAGCGAAGCCCUCCAUUUAGCCGCCCAGUUUCGCCCAGCCCUGCUGGCAUCGUCUUAACUUGGUUGAACAGCAGCAUUUGCGGACAGAAAAGCUUCCGUUUUAGGAAAUAAUUCAAUUCCAGGCCCUGAGAUGUGCCCAGGUAUGUUUUCAGAUAACCAGUUUCCUCUCUCCUUUGUGCUCCAGCUUGAUGGUUGGGACAAAUUAGGAGAGUGAGGGCUGCUCCUCACGCCAGAAAGGGCUACACGGGAGCCACUGCCCACUUCUGAUGAGCCCUCUGCCUGAAGAACAGCUCGGGCACGCUUACAAAUUUUGGCUGAACCAGAACAUGCGACCUGAGGCUGCCCCUGGAGUGUCUUCCCAGGUCAUGAGUCUGUGCACUCGGGGCCACCCCAGCCACAGAUGUGCAGGAGCUGCCUGGCCUGACUUUUUGCUGAAGCUCUUAAUGCCACAAGCGUUCUUCUGAUGGUCAACCUCUUGGACUCAGACAACCUGGAACCCCAGACUGGACUCCAUCUGAAGGGCAGGUUUAGCAUCUGUCCACUUGGGUCGAGCAGCCCCAGUCACACCCCAAGUGUGGGCCUGGGUCCCAGGGAAGAUGAACGUGGAAAGGGGAGCUUGGGGGUGUGUGCGUGUCUCUCCUCUACUGAAACAACCCGAGGACUGAGAACAUUUGUCCCUGAUUCAUCUCGGAGAUGGGCAUAGUGCCCUCUUCCAGCUCAAGUCCACGGGACUUUCAGAGCACCCAGCACCCCUCAUGAAGGUCAUCCCAUCCUGUUCACUCGACCCUGAUGCCUUUCACAUCAACCCCCAGAAACUCAUCUGUUCCAGACCAUUCCAGCAGCUUCCUGUCUCCCUGUUUCUCCUCGCCCCCAUCAGGCCUUCUUCCAGUAAUGCUGCUAGAAUUAACCUCUAAGACAGAAGGCAGUACUCAUUUGGAAACCUCGCCCAGCUCCCUGACCUGUGCUCAGGCCACACCGCUGUUUGGGCAGAACAUACUGUGGUCUCGCUGCUUCUGUACAGGCCUCUUCUGGGGUUGCCCCAACCCUGCCCCCAGUGCUUUCUCCUUCCUGGCAUCUUGUCUUCCCCACUGGGCCCCUGGGCUGGAGCAGAUCUCACCGACAGACUCCUCAGGAGACCUGGUGGCCUCACUCUUCAAGAACAAGACAUGCGGGCUUCCCUGGUGGCGCAGUGGUUGAGAGUCCGCCUGCCGAUGCAGGGGACACGGGUUCGUGCCCCGGUCCGGGAAGAUCCCACAUGCCGCGCAGCGGCUGGGCCCGUGAGCCAUGGCCGCUGAGCCUGCGCGUCCGGAGCCUGUGCUCCGCAACGGGAGAGGCCACAACAAUGAGAGGCCUGCGUACAGCAAAAAAAAAAAAAAAAAGAACAAGACACGCAUACGCACCUGGGAAAAGUGCUGAAUUGUAAGAAAAACAUGAUUCUAUUUCUGCUUAACGUGCCUUUACUUGGUAUCUUGCACAUGUAUUCACACACAAACAUCCCUGCCUGGAACUCUUUAUUCCAGAAUAAUGUUUCUGUGAAGCUCUGUGGUGCAUGACAGAAAUCUAGACUUAUGGUUUCAGGAGAGACAUUUUCCUUCAUGUAUUUAUGGUUGAAACCAGUGGGAAGGAUUGAGACCCAACUGUCACAACCAGAGAACUUGGGCACUGAGCCAGGACCGAGAAUGCAAGAGGCUGCCAGCCGUGCACUCAGUGGGGACAAAAACAGCAGAUCCUACCUUGUGUGUUUCUGGCAUUAGCAUAUAAAGUUCCAGCAGGUUCUUUCCCCUG